GAUGAAGAACGCAGCGAAAUGCGAUAAGUAAUGUGAAUUGCAGAAUUCAGUGAAUAAUCGAAUCUUUGAACGCACAUUGCGCCCCCUGGUAUUCCGGGGGGCAUGCCUGUCCGAGCGUCAUUACAACCCUCAAGCUCAGCUUGGUAUUGGGCCCCGCCGACCCGGCGGGCCCUAAAGUCAGUGGCGGUGCCGUCCGGCUCCGAGCGUAGUAAUUCUUCUCGCUCUGGAGGUCCGGUCGUGUGCUCGCCAGCAACCCCCAAUUUUUUUCAGGUUGACCUCGGAUCAGGUAGGGAUACCCGCUGAACUUAAGCAUAUCAAUAAGCGGAGGA
rnacentral:misc_RNA from 1 species